ACGGUUAUAAAUCAACAUAUUGAUUUAUAAGCAUGGAAAUCCCCUGAGUGAAACAACGAAUUGCUGUGUGUAGUCUUUGCCCAUCUCCCACGAUGGGCUUUUUU
rnacentral:other from 1 species